GAUGAACGCUGGCGGCGUGCCUAAUACAUGCAAGUCGAGCGAACGGACGAGAAGCUUGCUUCUCUGGUGUUAGCGGCGGGCGGGUGAGUAACACGUGGAUAACCUACCUAUAAGACUGGGAUAACUUCGGGAAACCGGAGCUAAUACCGGAUAAUAUUUUGAACCGCAUGGUUCAAAAGUGAAAGACGGUCUUGCUGUCACUUAUAGAUGGAUCCGCGCUGCAUUAGCUAGUUGGUAAGGUAACGGCUUACCAAGGCAACGAUGCAUAGCCGACCUGAGAGGGUGAUCGGCCACACUGGAACUGAGACACGGUCCAGACUCCUACGGGAGGCAGCAGUAGGGAAUCUUCCGCAAUGGGCGAAAGCCUGACGGAGCAACGCCGCGUGAGUGAUGAAGGUCUUCGGAUCGUAAAACUCUGUUAUUAGGGAAGAACAUAUGUGUAAGUAACUGUGCACAUCUUGACGGUACCUAAUCAGAAAGCCGCGGCUAACUACGUG
rnacentral:rRNA from 1 species